rnacentral:rRNA from 1 species
GAUGAACGCUAGCGAUAGGCUUAACACAUGCAAGUCGAGGGGCAGCAUGGUCUUAGCUUGCUAAGACUGAUGGCGACCGGCGCACGGGUGCGUAACGCGUAUGCAACUUGCCUCACAGAGGGGGAUAACCCGUCGAAAGACGGACUAAUACCGCGUACACUCCAUCUUGGGCAUCCAAGGUAGAGGAAAUGAAAUUCGCUGUGAGAUAGGCAUACGUCCCAUUAGCUAGUUGGUGAGGUAACGGCUCACCAAGGCGACGAUGGGUAGGGGAACUGAGAGGUUGAACCCCCACACUGGUACUGAGACACGGACCAGACUCCUACGGGAGGCAGCAGUGAGGAAUAUUGGUCAAUGGGCGAGAGCCUGAACCAGCCAAGUCGCGUGAAGGAUGACUGUCUUAUGGAUUGUAAACUUCUUUUAUACGGGAAUAACAAGAGUCACGUGUGACUCCCUGCAUGUACCGUAUGAAUAAGCAUCGGCUAACUCCGUG